rnacentral:lncRNA from 1 species
CUUCUCCUUCUUCUUUCUUCUCUCCCAUUUCCAACCCGAGAGCUUCGAUUCUGGACCGAUCGCAAAGGAGAAGAGAGGAGACCAGAAAGCCGGAUCUGGAUGCUUGCCACUGGAGAGAAGAUUGAGAGAGAAGGACCACUAAUUCUCUCUUCCUCUUCUCCUUUAGAAAACUCUCACCGAAGUCUCUGUCUGUGAAGUUUCUUCCAAAGAUUUCACAGACAGAUUCGCUCUAAUUUUUCCUCUCUGAUUCGUUCUCUAUUUCAAGAGGAAAACGUUGGUCUAUCUAUAGUUCAACGCAGUGAGGAUUUACGAGGAGUUAUGAGCUGCCGUUAUCGAGUUAAAUGUAAGAUUCGUAAGUUUGUUUUUAAAAAAACAAACGUAGAGAAAAUCAUCCAAUUCAUCCGAUAACAGUCGGAUUUCAAAAAUCAAAUUUAACUGGAUUGUAGCCGGUUCAAAACCGGACAUUUCGGUCCAGACGGUAGAGCGGCCGAAGGCUGGAUGGUGGCGCGGCGUGGCUUUGAAGCAUCGGUGGAGAAGGCUCUGUUUUGCUCCCAGGUGUUUCUCCCAUCGCGGUUCAUGAGAAAAACUCUUAAGGGUCCACGGUUGUUAACGGUCCAUGGAUGGUCCACAGGAUUUUAAAACAGGUCAGCCAUCAACCAUUUAAGUGGGAUAUUGGGAUUAGCCAAAUAGGAAAUGGGUUAGCCCAUUUUGUAAUAAAGCAAGCCUAUUUGGUUCUAAACCAAAUUGACAGCCCAUUUGAAUGAUUUUUGACCCGAAAAAAUUCCACAUGAGUACGACUCAUGGGAGAUUCAAUUAGGUUUAGUUUUGGCUCGAUCCAAGUCUGACUUAGAUCAGAACAAAUAUGAAAUUAAAUCCCAAUUAAAUCGUGAUCGAGCCCAAUUACACUAAUUUAGACCCAAUCAAACCCAAUCUCAACAAUUGAGUCCUGAUCAAG